AGGAUAAUAGUUAAUUAUAAUAUUUAAUUUGCAAUUAAAAGGUAUUGCUAGACAAUUUAUCUUU
rnacentral:tRNA from 1 species